GACGAACGCUGGCGGCGUGCCUAAUACAUGCAAGUUGAGCGCUGAAGGUUGGUACUUGUACCAACUGGAUGAGCAGCGAACGGGUGAGUAACGCGUGGGGAAUCUGCCUUUGAGCGGGGGACAACAUUUGGAAACGAAUGCUAAUACCGCAUAAAAACUUUAAACACAAGUUUUAAGUUUGAAAGAUGCAAUUGCAUCACUCAAAGAUGAUCCCGCGUUGUAUUAGCUAGUUGGUGAGGUAAAGGCUCACCAAGGCGAUGAUACAUAGCCGACCUGAGAGGGUGUUCGGCCACAUUGGGACUGGGACACGGCCCAAACUCCUACGGGAGGCAGCAGUAGGGAAUCUUCGGCAAUGGACGAAAGUCUGACCGAGCAACGCCGCGUGAGUGAAGAAGGUUUUCGGAUCGUAAAACUCUGUUGGUAGAGAAGAACGUUGGUGAGAGUGGAAAGCUCAUCAAGUGACGGUAACUACCCAGAAAGGGACGGAUAACUACGUG
rnacentral:rRNA from 1 species